UUUUAAGAUAGGGGAAUGAGAAAGCAUGUACCUCCAGCAUGUUAACACAAACCUAGCCUGUACCCCGGGUUACGAAAAAUUGAUUCACAAUCGAUCUUCUCACUCGAUAUACAUCUUCUCCUUCGUCGUUUCUUCAUUUCUCUCUAUAAUUCUUCAUGUCCGUCGAUCUCGCCUCUCUCUCUCUCACACACACACAAUCUCUUCUCUCCAUCACUCCCUCUCUCCCAAUAUCUCUCUCCACUCUCCAUCUCUGUAUCAUAUUGCUUGAUAAUCAAGGCUCUUUUAAUUGAAAAGUUUUCAAGUAUGAAUACAGGAAGAGGCAGAAUAAGAGAAAUUGGAGUGAUGAGGAGGAUCGUGCUCUCAUUGAAACCCUUCAAGAAGUAGCUGUUGAUAUAAAUUGAAAGAGUGAGAAGGGAUGGAGGGAUGGUUACUUGGUUCGGGUUGAAGAGCUGAUGGCUAUGAAAGUACCUAUGGCAGGUCUAAAAGCAAAUCCCCACAUUGAGUCAAGAUGAAAGUAUCUAAAGCGAAAGUAUCACACAAUAACCGAUAUGCGAGCUAGUUCUAGAUUUGGUUGGGAUGAGAAUACAAAAAAAAUCCAACGUGACAAAAGCGUGUAUGACGAAUGGUGCAAGAUACAUAUUUACUUUUAUAAAUUGUUUAUGGUUGCA